ensembl:lncRNA
GAGAGGAGCAGUUUUGAGGGAACUAGCCUGGUGGUCUUCCGGGGAACCAGGGGAGGUCGCCGAGGAGGGAGUAGUCGAGAGGAGGUUCAACAUCGCUCUCAACCAUGGCCCCCCUUCGACCCUGGGCUCGUGUGUGACGGAUCGGAGCCACUGUCUCACCAUGGCGGACGGAGAGGGGAAAGGAAGCGCAGGUCCGCCAUGGUGGCGCAACUGCCCAUGAUGGCCACAGGGCCAGCGCCACGAGGCAAGGUGGACGCCAGCCCAGCGCCAAUGCCCAAGAGGGCCGCGGAGACAUUGUUGGAUUACUUUUCCAUGUUGAACCAGAUUUUAGAGAUUCCCAGGAGUGUUCACGUCCCGGCUGCGGAGCCAGCGCCAAUGCCCAAGAUGGCCACCAGCCCAGUGCCACAGCACAGGAUGGCCGCCAGCCCAGCGCCACAGCACAGGAUGGCCGCCAGCCCAGCGCCACAGCACAAGAUGGCCGAAUCUGCACCUGUGUCACCAGACAAGAUGGCCGACUCAACGCCUGAGUCUCCAGACAAGGUGACACCGACUCGCCAUCAUAGAGGGCGGAGGAGGAGGGGACAGGCGUCUACCGUUCCUCAAAGCCCGGCGGAUGUUCCCGAGCAGCCCGCUGCCGUCCCGGAGGCCGUUCCCGAGCAGCCCGCUGCCGUCCCGGAGGCGGCGCCUGAGGCAGAGGCCGAUACGGGGCCCGAGGCGGUUCUUGAAGCCGAGGCGGUUCCUGAGGC